UGUGUGAUGGAUAGCCUGUGUGAUGGAUAGCCUGUGUGAUGGAUAGCCUAUGUGAUGGAUAGCCUGUGUGAUGGAUAGACUGUGUGAUGGAUAGCCUGUGUGAUGGAUAGCCUGUGUGAUGGAUAGACUGUGUGAUGGAUAGACUGUGUGAUGGAUAGCCUGUGUGAUGGAUAGCCUGUGUGAUGGAUAGCCUGUGUGAUGGAUAGCCUGUGUGAUGGAUAGCCUGUGUGAUGGAUAGACUGUGUCUGAUCAUCUCAAAACAAAAAAAGAAACUGCCAGAUGGACACCUCCCCCAGAACUAGCAUGAGUUUCUGAGCCAAUUAUCAGGUUCAUCAAACAAAACAAGUGUGACAUAACCUGGUUGAGUGUGGGGGAAUGCUAGAAUGCAGCACUUUAUGUAACACAUUUUGAAUCGUAUUUGUGUAUAUAUUUGUUUGUUUCGAUACAAGCCUUCCUGUUUUACAUAUGACCAACCACCUGUCAUUUGGGUUACACUUAGACACUGAUCUAACAUCUCCCCCCAAUUGAUUAAGGCUCUACAUUUGGGUUCGUAAACUGGACUCAGAUCUGUGCCCAUUACCAUGUGUGGAAGACCGAGGAUGGGGAUGGCCGUAAAACCCUCUAGUUUACAUUGACGUCACAGGAAGGCGGCUCUCUGCGCGCACAGGUGUUCACCACAGGUGGACGGUGAGGAAAUGUGCGUCCUGUAAAACGAGUUCAGCUCUUCCCUGCCGUUAUUUGAGCUCAAUCACUCAUACAGCUUAGGUAUGGCUCACAACUGCGUGGGGAACUGUUCGCCGUUAUUUUUCCUAGCCAUCGCGUUUGACGUCGGCGGUUUGACAGUUAUUUUAGUUGGUAUUUUCGCCGAUCUAAAGUUGGACGGUCACUUCUACGGUGAUUUCCUAAUCUACACGGGUGCACUCAUCAUUUUCCUCAGUCUGGCCUGGUGGAUUUUGUGGUACACGGGCAACAUAAAGGUUUACUCCGAGGACUUUGAUAAAAGCACCCUGGACAAUUUUGCGCACUGGGCAAGAAAGUUUUCGGAACAGCUCCCGAAGAGCAAGAUUAAAACUCUGGAAGCUGGGGAGAAGUGCAAGUGGAAUGGAAAGGAAUCCGUGAACGGAACGGUUCCUGAUCAAACUCUAUCGCGAAUUACGUGUGAACACAGCAGCAGCCUGACGGGACACGACAAUUUAGGAUAUGACCGAAGUUUUGACAACCAGCCUACAGAGAAAACGGUGGAGUUGGGGAUUCUGAAUAAUGGUGUUCCAGAACAUUGUGGAUGGAAAAGUGGUUAGGCUUCUCUGACACGCAGUUGGUGAUCUCUGGUUCUCGGGUUUUGAAGAAAGUAUGCCCCGCUCCUACCCAAGCGCUGCUUUUUAAAUCCAUACAGACUGUAAACCUUUUCGCCUAUAUGAACUAAAGACACUUUAAAUAUAGAAGACUACUUUCAUUCAGGGAGAGGCCCCGCGCAGAAGCAAUCUCCGGGCCCUGCACAAAGGAUAGAAAUGUCUGUGAAUUUUUACUUGUAAAUGGAUAAAUAACUAGAUUAUUUUAUGUCCUGAAUUUUACAUGGUCCGUUUUGAAGAUGUUUUUUUUUUAGAAAAUAAUAACGCCAUUUGUCUGGGUUCUUAAUCAGACGUCUGUGACUGGAUAGCUCGCACAACAACACAGAUAUUGGAUUCCACUUCUGCUAGAAGUCGGUGUUAUUCAGACAAAUUGUUCUUCCAGAAAGAGAGAAGGAAUUAGAUAAUUAUAAUAUUCUAAAUCCAUUUGAGGGACAUUAACAAAUCAAAACAUCUUCCCUAGCUCAGAUCCUUUAUUCGUGUUUGUGUCUGGUUGGCAGAUCAAUGCUACACCUGUCUGGGUUGUUUUGCUUGCACUAAGCUGUCUGUCUGCCACUGGUUAUACUGAUAACAUAUUCCCUACACACACACUGAGACGAUAUAGAAUGUAUCAUGUAGAACAGAUAGGAUUUUCUGUUCUAUUUAUUAUAUUUCUAUCUGCAACAUUCUGAACUGAGCUGAAUACACACUGGCACAAGGGUUACAUCUCCAUUCCAGAAACUGACUUGUUACCUGUAAAAAAUAAAUAAAUACAUCUUUACAAACAUUC